rnacentral:pre_miRNA from 1 species
GUUAUACUCCCUCCGUCCGAAAAUACUUGUCAUCAAAAUGGACAAAAAGGGAUGUAUCUAGAACUAAAAUACAUCUAGAUACAUUCCCUUUUAUUCAUUUUGAUGACAAGUAUUUCCGGACGGAGGGAGUAUGUU